rnacentral:rRNA from 1 species
ACAAACGACUCUCGGCAACGGAUAUCUCGGCUCACGCAUCGAUGAAGAACGUAGCAAAAUGCGAUACUUGGUGUGAAUUGCAGAAUCCCGUGAACCAUCGAGUUUUUGAACGCAAGUUGCGCCCAAAGCCAUCCGGUUGAGGGCACGCCUGCCUGGGCGUCACGC